CCUGUGGAGAGCCAUAUAAACCAAAGUAGCAAGAUAGUGGCGAAAUGGGGCUCGUAGAAGCAGGAA
rnacentral:sRNA from 18 species